rnacentral:tRNA from 1 species
GCCCCUGUAGCUUAACGGAUAAAGCACAGGCCUCCGGAGCCUGGGAUGGCAGUUCAAUUCUGCCCAGGGGCA